rnacentral:tRNA from 1 species
GGGCGAUUGGCUCAAUGGUAGAGCAUCUCGUUUACACCGAGAGGGGUAGCGGUUCGAGUCCGUUAUCGCCCA